rnacentral:rRNA from 1 species
GACUCGUCACACUAUCAUUAACUGAAUCCAUAGGUUAAUGAGGCGAACCGGGGGAACUGAAACAUCUAAGUACCCCGAGGAAAAGAAAUCAACCGAGAUUCCCCCAGUAGCGGCGAGCGAACGGGGAGGAGCCCAGAGCCUGAAUCAGCAUGUGUGUUAGUGGAAGCGUCUGGAAAGGCGCGCGAUACAGGGUGACAGCCCCGUACACAAAAGCGCAUGUGCUGUGAGCUCGAUGAGUAGGGCGGGACACGUGGUAUCCUGUCUGAAUAUGGGGGGACCAUCCUCCAAGGCUAAAUACUCCUGACUGACCGAUAGUGAACCAGUACCGUGAGGGAAAGGCGAAAAGAACCCCGGCGAGGGGAGUGAAAAAGAACCUGAAACCGUGUACGUACAAGCAGUGGGAGCACCCUUUGGGGUGUGACUGCGUACCUUUUGUAUAAUGGGUCAGCGACUUAUAUUCUGUAGCAAGGUUAACCGAAUAGGGGAGCCGGAGGGAAACCGAGUCUUAAUUGGGCGUUAAGUUGCAGGGUAUAGACCCGAAACCCGGUGAUCUAGCC